AAGAAAAGAGGGAAAAAGAAGCCAGUAUCAGGCACUAAAUAACAGGCCCACAACACUAAGCAAUACGCCACAACUGCAGUGCUAAACAUUGGACAAUCGGAAAAAUCCAGAUCCAGCAAAGAAAGUAUGAAGGAGGUAAAAUACGUGCCAGCCACCGCGGUUAUACGUAAUUCCUAUAGUUAAAUAGCACGGUGAAAAGGGUGGUUAGAAGAAGAACACAAUUGGUUGUAGCUUUGAGCUAGUGGUAAAAAACUAAUCUCACAAGAAACUCUUAUCUCCAAAUUAAAUAUUUGAAGCCACGAAAACUAAGGCCUAAACCAGGAUUAGAUACCCUGUUAUACUUAGACGUGAACAACCUUAAGCACCAGAGAACUACGAACCUAAAGUUUAAAACUCAAAGGACUUGGCGGUUUUCCAAACCUCCCUGGAGGAGCUUGCCAUUGAAUCGAUAAUCCACGAAACACCUCACCAACUUUUGUAACAACAGCUUGUAUACCAUCGUCGUAAGUCUACUUCUUGAGAAAGUUGACUUUAAGGAAGA
rnacentral:rRNA from 1 species